UUGACAGAGCAGAUUCUAUAGUUUGAGAAUCAUAUACUAUAUGCCCUCGGUUAGAAUUAGUCUCAGUAUCCGUUGCUAAAUUAGUAAGGCACCCAGACAUAGUUGUUUGUUUGGAAACUAUGAAAGUGUUGACCGUCGUAACUUUCCGUAGGACACUCAUAAUAUAUAACUAUAUCUGAAGCAUUUCUUCAUCUCUUUUGUUUUGUAGGGGGAGAUUGUGAAGGUUUAUGCUAAUGAGCAGAGAAAAAUUACAUGUGAUCAAUAUCCCUUAUGGCCAUCCUACCGAGUUUUCGAUACAGUCUGCUGACGACGCCGAGUACAAUCUCAAGCCUGGAGAUAACUCCCCGUGAGUUUGAGUUUCGGUACCAAGUCAACACUCUCUUAUAUGUUGUACGCGUGUGUUAAUGGUCAAGUGAUGAGAGAGACACUCUACAGGUCCCGGGAUAGCAUCGUGCUGAUACUGCGACUCUUCAGAAUGAAGAGCAAAGGAAGGAAGAAAGGCAUCUUCUUCAAGUAGAGUGGAGUCGAUGAGAGUGUUGUUUGCUUGCUUGUAGCUGGGUAUUUAUUCAUUUGGCCGUGGUCGUACCGCGAUUAUUAUUGGUUGUAGACAGGAAAAUCAAGGAGGAUUAGGUGGUAAGUAGGUAGCUAACUAGCAAUUUCUGGCUUCUCAUUCAUGUGAUGUAUUAUAUUUAUUGUUACGGACUUACAGUUUAUAUUGUAUCUAUCAUCUCUCUGUUUGUUACUCUUCCAUGUGUGUAAAGGAAGUAAGAAAUAUGCAUAUGGAUGAAUUACUCAA